AACCCAAAAAAUUCUACCAGGGACCUCCUACAGCUGAUAAACACCUUCAGUGAAGUGGUUGGAUACAAGGUUAACUCAGAAAUAUCAAUAGCCCUCCGAUAUACAAAUGAUAAAUGGUUUGAGAAAGAAAUCAGGUAU